AUGCCGAAAACGGGCCACCGUGAUGGUUCCAUAUACAAGUUCAACACCACACAUCAGUGGAAGAAACAAUACCGCAUCACGGACCGUGAUGAGACUUGUUUGGAGGCAAUGAUGUUAACAGAACCCACGGGUUGCUUCUUCCUCAAUGGAUAUUGCUUGUCGCAUGUACCUACUUGCAUGUUCCAAAUUUUCUCAUUGAAAUUGGCUGAAAUUUCUGUUGAUGAUGGGCUAGUACAGUUGUAUGGAUACAUAGCAGUGCGGGACGAUCUGGAUCCAUUGCUUAAUUAUAUUGCCAGUUUUACCAGGGAUGAUCCUAUCAUCGUGAAACAGGUACACACACGUACUUAUCUGCAAUUAUUUCAAGGCAUCAUGACUGGCCCUAAGCGAGGGAUAGAUUUUUGUGACAAUAUUGCAAUUGAAUAUGACAUGAGGAUCAAGACAAGUGAACAAGAAAAUCAUGAUCUACAACUGAUUGAUGGUGCAUCUGCAAUAGGCAUCCCGGACUUAAGGAACUAUCAUGCACUCACAAAACGCAUCCAUGGUGAUUGUGGCGCGAUUGACAUAACAAUAUCACGUGUUGAGCAUGCCAUUGAGGCGACUGUGGAAGUUGUCAUAUCGGAAGUGCAAAGGAGUUUCCAAUUUUGUGUUGGUUGUUUUACUAGUGGGUUGGAUGAAGAAAUCCGACUCUUCGAUGGUAUCAUUGGUGGGUCACGAUGCUUAAAGAGGUCUGUAGUUGCUGUAGUGGUACGUUCUUGGAUGGAGUUGAAGUUCAAGGUAAGCCCGGACUCAUCAAAUUCGGCUGAACAUUGUUGUUCCUUCCGCGCGGACAGCCAUGGGCUUACUACUCAAAAGAUAAAGACUAAUCAUGCGUUAAUCUUGGUAAAGGUGACUUGGUCGCCUUUGCCUCUAGCUUUCUCUGGUCCAUAUAAACUCUAA
rnacentral:rRNA from 1 species